CCUACGGGAGGCAGCAGUGGGGAAUAUUGCACAAUGGGGGAAACCCUGAUGCAGCGACGCCGCGUGAGUGAAGAAGUAUUUCGGUAUGUAAAGCUCUAUCAGCAGGGAAGAAAGUGACGGUACCUGAUUAAGAAGCCCCGGCUAACUACGUGCCAGCAGCCGCGGUAAUACGUAGGGGGCAAGCGUUAUCCGGAUUUACUGGGUGUAAAGGGGGCGUAGACGGCAGCACAAGUCUGGAUGGAAAUGCCGGGGCUUAACCCCGGAACUGCUUUGGAAACUGUGCAGCUAGAGUGCAGGAGAGGUAAGUGGAAUGCCUAGGGUAGCGGGGAAAUGCGUAGAUAUUAGGAGGAACACCAGUGGCGAAGGCGGCUUACUGGACUGUAACUGACGUUGAGGCUCGAAAGCGUGGGGAGCAAACAGGAUUAGAUACCCGAGUAGUC
rnacentral:rRNA from 1 species